UCAUAGGCUGGCCUUCGGGUGACAUUUUUGGACACUAGUGGUGGACGGUGCCUAGAAGGUCCUACCACGGUGUCGUCUGGCUCUGCUACACAACCACAUGAUCUCCACCUGGUACAGCCAGGCUCUACCACACUACAACUCACCCAGAGUCACAGAAACUACCAGCACAGGUGCACGUGGCAAGCAUAGUGGAGGAGCAACUCUUGGCCUGCGACACCACCACGCUGCAGGUCCAGGCGGCGAGCAGUCUUGGGUAAAGGCAGUAUUGGCCCAGUGAGUGAAGCAGAGGAGUGAUCUUAGUGACGUCUGCGGUAGAACACUUUCAAGAUGAACAUCCGUUGUGCUAAGCCCGAAGACCUCAUGCACAUGCAACACUGCAACCUGCUCUGUUUGCCUGAGAACUACCAGAUGAAGUACUACCUCUAUCAUGGUCUCUCAUGGCCGCAGUUGUCAUAUGUAGCCGAGGAUGAUGAGGGACAGGUUGUUGGCUAUGUACUUGCCAAGAUGGAAGAGGAAAGUGAAGAGGACCCCCACGGGCACAUCACCUCACUAGCUGUCCGCAGGAGUCACAGACGUUUAGGACUAGCACAGAAACUAAUGGAUCAAACAGCUAGAGCAAUGGUCGAGUGCUUUAAUGCUAAAUAUGUCUCUCUUCAUGUUCGAAAAUCAAACCGAGCAGCUUUGAAUCUCUACACUAAUACGCUGAAAUUCACUAUUUCUGAAAUUGAACCCAAGUAUUAUGCUGAUGGUGAAGAUGCUUUUGCAAUGAAGAGAGACCUUUGUUCUUUUGCUCUGCAGAAUGAUGUUACUCCAGCUGAUCCCAACUCCUUUUUUGAUAAUAAGAAAAAUGAAGAAAAAUAGUUUGAUACCAGUUCUGAUGAGUUCUUCCCGAAGAUAAAAUAUCACUUUAAUAUUCAAAUAACUGCUAUACAAGUUAAUUUCUCAAGGUGAUUGGGGUGAGGUUAACCUGCAGCUGUUGCCACCUUGUGUGUGGGGUUUUCCCACAGCUGUUGCCACCUUGUGUGGUGUUAACCCACAGCUGUUGCCACCUUGUGUAGGGUUAACCGUUGACUGGGCUUUCCUUCUGUGUCGGGUUAGUGUACAAUUGUUGCGACCUUGAAGACUUUAAAAGUGGGUGCAAGAUCAACUAAUUUUACAAAACAUUAGGAUUGCAGCAGUUUCAAAUCAGUAUUGUUAAUUAAAAUGGCAUUUGUACAUUUUUCUUAAUGGUACAUGGUUUAAAUGAAAGAUUUGUACAUUACUAAGAGAAUGAUGGCCCUUGUGUUUAGCAGUAAACAAAUAUAUUUACACGUGCAUGUAUGCCACACAUGACAGGAAAUGAUUUAUUUGACAAAUCUAUUUUAUACCUAUUUAGAUAUAGAUAGGUAUUUAAAAAUAAAAUAAUCAUGGCA